rnacentral:rRNA from 1 species
ACGGGAGGCAGCAGUGGGGAAUAUUGCACAAUGGGCGCAAGCCUGAUGCAGCGACGCCGCGUGAGCGAAGAAGUAUUUCGGUAUGUAAAGCUCUAUCAGCAGGGAAGAUAAUGACGGUACCUGACUAAGAAGCACCGGCUAAAUACGUGCCAGCAGCCGCGGUAAUACGUAUGGUGCAAGCGUUAUCCGGAUUUACUGGGUGUAAAGGGAGCGUAGGCGGUCUAGCAAGUCUGAUGUGAAAACCCGGGGCUCAACUUCGGGAUUGCAUUGGAAACUGUCAGACUAGAGUGUCAGAGGGGUAAGUGGAAUUCCUAGUGUAGCGGUGAAAUGCGUAGAUAUUAGGAGGAACACCAGUGGCGAAGGCGGCUUACUGGACGAUUACUGACGCUGAGGCUCGAAAGCGUGGGGAGCAAACAGGAUUAGAUACCCUGGUA